rnacentral:rRNA from 1 species
UCGCACCUACCGAUUGAAUGGUCCGGUGAAGCCUCGGGAUUGUGGCCAUGCUGCUUCAUUGUGGUGUGGACGUGAGAACUUGUCUAAACCUUAUCAUUUAGAGGAAGGUG